CACUGCGAGCCGCAGGCACAUCAGUCGAUCUCCUUGUGUGGCUGGGACACUGCUGUGUGCAGCCAGUCUCAGUGAAGCUACGACGACUGAAUGGAUUGGAACCACCUGUUAUCUGCAACAUGAGGAAGAGAUAUGCUGUUCAUGAACUAAAACUCUAUCUUCCAACUGA